CGUUCCUCAUUUUCCCUUUCUUUAUCCUUUAUCUUGGAUGUUAAAUUAUAUUAUUAUUAUUAUGGACAUAUUUUCUAGGUAUUGUAGUUUAUAUAUAAAUAUUUGAUUCUUCUCAUAGCACUUCACCAAUCUUUGCAUAUACCUUUAUUUCUUCAAAGCACUUUUCCUUUACCUUUACCUGCUAUGACUCCUCAGAGGGAUUGAUGUUUAGAUUUGAUUCGCAACGAUGCUUCUCUUUUUCUUCUCCUUCUUACUGGGAAAGCCUUUUCUUUCAUUCGCUUCAAUUGAAAAGGAUGUGUUUUAAUCCCAACAUUUCUUCCAGUUUUCCUCGAUCUACGGUUUCUUCUUAAAGCAUCAUUUCUUGUUCUUUUUUGACACUAUGUUUUUCACAGGUGUAUUACUUUUUCUUUUUUUUUUCAAUUUGGUUCUUGAGGAACGAGUUCAUCCACUGAAAGGUCCUCGUUUACCGAAAUCAAACAUGAAUUUGCGCAUAAAAUCUCUAUUUUUCUCUUACCCACAUCUCGUGCUGUCAUUAAUCUGUACUCCUAAUUAAUUAGUCUCUAUGUAAUAUGUUCCCUUUUGCAGUUUGUGUUUGGAAAAUUUUCCGUUAGAUUUGGCUUUUCUCUGUGAAACUUGUGGCUUUUGUUAAGUAGUUUUGGACGAGGGUGGCAAAAUGAUAUCAUAGGUUGUCUUCAUAGUUUGUUUAAGGAGGUUUUGUUGGUAGCUAUAGAUGCAUGGAGAGUUUGCCAGUCGUUAUUUGCGGAUGUAGCAUCAUCAAGAUUCACAUGCAAACGCAGGUGGGUGGGACUGUGAUGCAAUCUGAGAGCUGUAGGCCAACCAUGCCAUAGGUCUUUUGGAAGUGAGAAUCUUGAUGAUGCUGCAUCAGCCAUAAACGACUACUUUCAAAAGUUGGAUAAGGACUAUUCUAAUAAUCUCAACAAGUGGGCCAAAAAUAUAUAUAUAAAAAAAAGGAAAAAAAAAGAGAAAUGAGAAACAUUUGUUGAGGUAUACUCACAUGACACAGCAAAACAAAACCCCCUUCAGACAUGAUCUGAUCUGCGCGUUUAAACCGAGAGGCAACCUUUCCCACUUUGCUUUUUUGUUGCUGUCAGGUGGGUUUUGCUGUUUUAACCUUUGAUUUUUCAAAUUAUGGUACUGCUAGUUUUUUAUUUCUACAUUAAUGGAUACAGGUAUGGUAUGGGCUUGCUUCCAGUGCUUUCUGAGUUCUGUCUUUUUAUCUAUUUAUUAAUUUAUUUAUAACUGUUGUUGUUAUCAUCACAAUUUGUAGCUUGCUUUACAUUAAUUAGCUCUUCUGUGUUUUGCAGACAAUCCUAGGUUUUCAAGUAUAGGCUAUUUGGAGGCCGAGAGGAGCGGCUGUUGGGUCCUUUAUAUGUGCUGACUUCACAGAUCUAUGAUGAAUAUUCCUUUCCAACAGAAAUGCUGGGAUCUAAAUGGUGUCUUUUCAGUUUCUAAAUAUAGAUGCAGAUACCACUUUAUCCAAAUCCGGAGAGAAUGUUAGAGACUCACUCAAGCACACAGAAAGUUAAAAUUAUUAUUUGGAAUUUAGGGUGUACUCAGAAGCUAGUGUUGAUGCUCAUAAGUGACGUUUCGAGCGUAUAGAGUGAAUGAAAACGUGAUAGGAUUUUGCUUUGGCUUUAGCUUUGGUAUGAACAAUGUUGAAGGCUUUGGCUUUAGAACGAACCAAUAAUCAGUUGUAGCUGCGGUUGGUGGACCAAGGACUUCACACAAGUUGGACUCUCUAAGUGAUCAUUCAGUAUAUUCAAGAUUUUAUCUUAUGGAAAUCUGUGUGCCCCCAUCACUGUCCAACUCUUGGUCAUAUUCUCGCUGCUCCAUCAUUAUGAAUAUGUUGUGUACACUGUCUUUGCCCGAAACAGCUUGCCCUAUUUCUUUGUAGAGAAGGCUGUGGAUCAUACAUGCAUCAGGCCCACUCAUCUUCUUGUUCUCUCUCUUCAUAGGUAAAGCCACACAAUUUUUUGGCCUUUUUAUUACAUUGAUAAGGGUAGUUUCUCCUAUGCAAUUAGGUCUCCUAAACUGUUGUGUGUGUUUGUGUUUUUGUAUUUAGGAUAUGCUGGUAAUUAAUGUUGAGUACAUGUUUCAAGCUAUACUACUUUGGUUCUUUUUUUCUGUGUGCACGAGGGAGAAGGACAAACUGGUUUAAUAAACCUGACUGAGUACAUAAAAUUACUUUUUCCUCGAAUUAUAAUAUGCUUGAAAAAGAGCAUGAGAGGAUGCAUGUGAUGAAUCUGAUUUUAUUAUUUAAUCUUUGGCUAUAUAUAUAUUUCUAUUGAAAGUGACAGACAGAUAAUGCACUAAGUACAUGCUUAAUUUCAGGGAGCACAUGGAUCAUUUAAAUCCUUGUUUUCAGGUGAUCAUUUAAAUUGAAACAACAGUUUCUUAUAAUUUAGGGAGAAAUGGAUCACGUACAUGGGUUUUUUUCAACUCCCUAUUGCAUGUAUAUUUCCUCCUUAUAGUACUAUUUUUCAGCAUCCAUUUCAUUGAAUCUACAAGCUUCUUUUAGUAUUUUAUGAAUUCAUCCGUGGCUAUCUAGUUUCUGAACUUGAUAACUGAUUGAUACAGUGUGAUAUUGCUGUCAUGAAACAAGAACAACAAUAAUAAUAGAAAAAGAGAUUCAAGAAAUACCCGUUAAACAAUGUCUUUUAUGAGGCAUGAUGCAUUCACUCAUUCUGGCCAAUGUAGCAAUAUUUGAAACAAUUUACUCAGUUUUCUUAGUUUUAAUUUCCAAGGAAUACAUUUGCGC
rnacentral:sRNA from 1 species